GGGCUAUGGGCAUGUAGAUGGGACUGUGAGCAUGUAAAGGGGCUAUGGGCAGGUAGAGGUUGCUAUGGGCAGGCAUGUGUAGAGGGCGCUAUGGGCAUGUACAAGGGCUAUGGGCAGGUAGAUGGUGUUGUGGGCAUGUACAGGGUGCUAUGGGCAGGUAGAGGGGCUAUGGGCAUGUAGAUGGUGUUGUGGGCAUGUACAGGGUGCUAUGGGCAGG